rnacentral:lncRNA from 1 species
CUCUCUCUUAGCUAUGGGAGACACAGCAAGAAGGCAGCUGUCUGUAAGCCAGGAAGUGGACCCUCACCAAGAACUGGCACCUUGAUCUUGGACUUCUCAGCCUCCAGAACUAUAAGAAGUUUUGUUUAGGCUGCCUUGUCUGUGGUAUGUUGUUUCAGCAGCCCAAGUGACAGAGACACAGGGCCAGCAGCUCCCUGAGUUUGGAGGAGAAGUCUGGCCUUCAGACCAUUGGUCCAGGUUCUUGGUUUCCAGAGCAUUCCUGCUGCCCUCAUUCAGAUGCAGCUAGGUAAAGACCUCAAGUUUGGGAUGCAAGUUUGGGUACAAGAGGAAAGGAGGGGAGGGCUACCUGUCCUAAAAGAAAACCUACCCUAAUGAGAAUAGAUGGAAUUAUAGAAGGCCAGCCCCCCAUGCAUGAGAACAUCACUAGAACAGGAGAGGAAAGGCUCAGCCAGGAAGCCACAAGCUGGUAC